AGUGAACGCUGGCGGUAGGCCUAACACAUGCAAGUCGAACGGCAGCACAGUAAGAGCUUGCUCUUACGGGUGGCGAGUGGCGGACGGGUGAGGAAUAAAUCGGAAUCUACUUUUUCGUGGGGGAUAACGUAGGGAAACUUACGCUAAUACCGCAUACGACCUACGGGUGAAAGCAGGGGAUCUUCGGACCUUGCGCGAUUGAAUGAGCCGAUGUCGGAUUAGCUAGUUGGCGGGGUAAAGGCCCACCAAGGCGACGAUCCGUAGCUGGUCUGAGAGGAUGAUCAGCCACAGUGGAACUGAGACACGGUCCAGACACCGACGGGAGGCAGAAGUGGGGAAUAUUGGACAAUGGGGGCAAGCCUGAUCCAGCCAUACCGCGUGGGUGAAGAAGGCCUUCGGGUUGUAAAGCCCUUUUGUUGGGAAAGAAAAGCAGCAGGUUAAUACCCCGCUGUUCUGACGGUACCCAAAGAAUAAGCACCGGCUAACUUCGUG
rnacentral:rRNA from 1 species